rnacentral:rRNA from 1 species
AUUGAACGCUGGCGGCAUGCCUUACACAUGCAAGUCGAACGGCAGCACGGGUGCUUGCACCUGGUGGCGAGUGGCGAACGGGUGAGUAAUACAUCGGAACGUACCUUAUCGUGGGGGAUAACGCAGCGAAAGCUGUGCUAAUGCCGCAUACGCCCUGAGUGGGAAAGCGGGGGAUCGCAAGACCUUGCGCGAUUAGAGCGGCCGGAGCCUGAUUAGCAUGUUGGUGGGGUAAAAGCCCACCAAGGCGACGAUUAGUAGCUGGUCUGAGAGGACGAUCAGCCACAAUGGGGCUGAGGCACAGCCCAGGCUCCUACGGGGAGCAACAGGUGGGAAUUUUGGACAAUGGGGGCAACCCUGAUCCAGCAAUGCCGCGUGAGUGAAGAAGGCCUUCGGGUUGUAAAGCUCUUUUGUCAGGGAAGAAACACCGGCUCUAACACAGUCCGGGAAUGACGGUACCUGAAGAAUAAGCACCGGCUAACUACGUGCCAGCCGCCGCGGUAA